UAAAUUUCUUUUUGAGAUAAUUCCUGCGAAUACUGUGGUUUAAAAGUCCCUCAGAGAGUUUGCAGGGAAUUAUCUACAUUUAUGGCUUGAGGUACACGGUGGUUUUCGUAAAGAUAUGGAACCACAUAGAAAAGGAAGGGAAGAAAUACUUUUUAGCUUUAAUUUACACUAUGAGUGUGUUUUAAAUUAAGUCGAUAUCAUAUAAUUUCCAGACCUGAAAUAUUUCACUAACUGCCCUCUAACUUCCAAGGUUUUAUACCCUGUAUUUUAGAUUUUGUAUAAUUUGAAAGCUACGGAUCUGAAACUAAAUAUCAGAUUUAACUGUUAGUUUUUUCUGUGUUUUAGUAAUUCGUGUUGUAUGCAAGAUUUGAAAAGGGGCCUGUAAAAUCAUUUUUUGUUUUGGAACAAAUUCCAGGCUUUUGGAUGUGUUAAUCUUUAAAUAUGAUUGCUGUGUUUCCUGAAGUCACAUCAUGAAUUUCCUGUUUGGUAGAAUCUUCUGGGUAAUUGAGAUUGUGCAAUUGUGUCCAGCAACAGAUCAUGUUGCAUUUUCUAGUUCAGGCUGCUUAAGUUAUGUUGUAGAAUGCACUGUGCUUGACAUCUUUCUCCCAUUUUUACAGUAUGGCAGUUUACAUUUUAAAGGAAUUUGCAACAUUUUACAUUCAGAGAGAGAGAGAGAGAGAGAGAGAAAUUGGGGGGGGGGGGCGGCAAGGGAGUGAUUAUAAUCAUGGAACAGGAAGGGAAAUGAAGACAGAGAGGGCUGAAGGAUAGAAACAAGCAAUGACAAUGAGGUUAACAAAUUGUUGUAGUCAGGCUACAAGUAAACUAGAAGUAACUAGGUUUGUGAUGAAAAGUGAGUGCUGCUGGUAUUCAGAAUUUUGUAGGUGGGGCAGUUUUUGGUAGGAAUAAAGGUCUAGAGUAUGACCAUGAAGAUGGCUGGAUGUGGUGGAGUUUCUUAGAGAGGUCAGGAAACAGGUGGGUGUACCCUUCACCUGGAUGUUGAAGUUGCCAAGAAUGAUGACAGAAGUGGGGAGUGUAGAGAGAUCUUCCGAUAGAAACUAACUUUUCAAUGAAUGAUGGAAAAUUUCAGGUCAGUGGAUAACAGCAGCAGAGAAGGAUAGUUUAUCAGGGUUGUGAGCAGGAGGUAUUUUAUAGAACAAACGGAAAGUAAUGGCCCUGAAGUGGGAAUGGCUGCCAAGGAAGACUCUUACCCACCUGCUAGCCAGGAGAUAUCUGGGCUAUUAGAGAAUGCAUCUCUAAUUGCAGGGGUGUAAGAGAAGCAGUGUCUUCUAGGAAUGGCCUAGUUUCACAGAGAUCGAGGGAAGUUUCAGAAAAGAGGUUGAAAAUUUACAUGAGUUUAUCACAAAUUGGGAUUUGAAGAUUGAGGGCAUAGUGUAAAGGUUUGGGAGUGAAAGGAAGGGGACUGGAGUAGGUACAGAGUUGUAAAAGCAAGUUUGGCAGGCAGAGAGUCUGGGGGAAAUAGAUGACCAGAAAGUCUUAGAUACACUUUAGAGACAAAAUCAAACAGGAGGAUGAGGCAUAAUGGAACUGGACCAGACAAUUUCUAAAAAUA